UUUUUUUUUUAUCUUUUUUUUUUUUUUGUCUUUCUCUCUUUUUAAGGCUGCACCCAUGGCAUAUGGAGGUUCCCAGGAUAGGGGUCCAAUUGGAGCUGUAGCCAUCAGCCUACACCAGGGUCACAGCAACGUGAGAUCUGAGCCACAUCUGCACCCUAUACCACAGCUCACGGCAAUGCCGGAUCCUUAACCCAAUGAGCGGGGCCAGGGUUCAAACCUGCAUCCUCAUGGAUACCAGUCAUGUUCAUUAACUGCUGAGCCACAACGGGAACUCCCUGAGGUUUGUAAGCUUUGACUCUGAUAUUGUUUAGCACUGAAAGUGUGUACUUGGUUUCAAAGAAAAACACUAGUAUUAUUUGAUUUUUUUUUUUUUUUGCAAACCUCUUUCAGUAUCAGUUUAUUUAUUGAAAAUUCCAGGAAGCUACAAAGUGCCAUCUGUUUCCUUAUCAAAUUUCACCCCCACAAUCACAGGCAAAUAUCAUUGCUUUUUUUAUUUGUGAGGUUGCUUAGAAACAACGUGGCUGUAUUUACAGGUCAGCUGUGAUGGAGUCCCUGAUGAUGAGCCCGGUGCAAGUAAAUAAAUAAUAAAAAAAUAAAUAAAGAAAAAGCUUGCCACAUUCUGAAAAUCAACUUUUAAUCCAGAAACUGCCAAGAACCAGCUUCUCCAGGCAGCAUCUCAUGCACAGACACUCACGUUUAGGAUACUGUCUUCUUUGAGCCCCAUCAUCAAUAGCUACAUGACCUGAUGGCUCAGUUUCCUGUUAAUUAGAACAUUUAACACUGGGAUGCCUUUGCAGGGGGUUUUCCAAAAGUGUGAGCAGUGUACAAUAUGCUUUUUCAGCCUUAGGAGAUUGAGCUGACUAUGAAGAGUCCCUCCCAAAUGGAUUUCUUUACCUGAAAAUGGUCAGAUCUCUGCCAGCCCACUAGGGGAAAGUCAAUAUUCUAAUUCCAUUAGCGUCAGUGGAAACAGAGGUAGGUGUGAACAGGGCAGCAAAUGUCACAACAUACUCUAAGAUGGCCUCUCUUGGGAAAAAGAAAAAGUGGAAAAAAAAGGAAAAAGCAACAACAGUAAUGAAAUAAAACACUGACAUGACUGAUAUAAAUGUUUAAUUAAGAGAAAAAUACCAUCUUGAAAAAAAAAGUCAACCCAUCUUUUUUGCAGCAUAAUUUUGCCAAGUUGUUGAUCAAACCAACCUAUUCCAUUUAAAAUGGCCAAGAAACUCUCUUGCAGCUUCUAAAAUAGAAAAUAGUUUCAUGGGUAGUUUUGAAAUUAAUGCGGGACCUAUGUUGACACAGACACUAUUCCAAAUACCUGGCACAGAACUGAAAUAUCAGCAUUAAGCAUGAUAUUUAAUCAGUUCUGAAUGAUUGGAUACAUUAUGCUGUAUGCUCAAAUUCUGAUGUGGAUACAAACAUCUUGCUAACCAAUUAUGUCCUUUAAAGCAUCAACUCUAUAUGGUUCAGUUAUUCUUCCCCCAUAACCUAUGCUUUUUUUUUUUUGUUUUCAAUAUUUUGCUUUCUGCCUGAAUUUAUUUACUUUUCAAAGCUGCUCUGGGCACCUGCCACAGGCCUGACAUGAUAAAAGAUACUUCACAUAAGUUUGAUCUUCUUAAGAGCUCCAUGAUAGAGUUCUUAGGCUUUCCAUUUGCAGAUGAGGAAACUGACACUCCAGAGCUUAAUAGUUUUCUCUUCACUUGUUUGAUUACAAAAUAGAUGGUCUCUUCACCACAUCACAGAACAAUCCAUUCAUCAAGAUGCUUGGUGGCAAAGAUAAGGGAGUCCUGGGCCUUAUGCCAUAGAACGUGUGAGGCUCAGGGGUUUCCAGUUGAGGAGUGUAGGCAGUGAUCAAAACAAAGUGGAAUAGACAGCUCAUGGUGAAAGCACGUGCCCUAAGCUGCUAUGCCCUGGGAAUAUGGGCUUGAAAUUAGACCAGCGUCUGCUGGGAAAUUAGAAUCAAGGGCAGCUAGCAGAAAGAAACAGGCAAGAGGACCUUUGACACCAGUCUAAUCCUAAUCGAGUGGCUCUAUAUGAUGCUCGCCCCACUGUAUCUCCUCUGCUCAUACUUUCUGCAGACCACAUAACCCUUUGUGACCCUGUCAUUAUGGCCUAUGAUGUCUGAAAGAGUCUGAAAAGAGUAGCCGAGUUGCAUUUACUCUUGAUUAAACACACAUUCUGUGUCUCUUGCGUGAUACGAAGAGGUGACUCUUCCCAUUGGAUAAUAAGCUGGUGUAGGCAAAGUUCACAUUCAAAGACAUAUGGAAAAUCUCUCACCCCUUGGUCUUCCCUUCAACCUCAUUUUUGAAUCCUCUUCCAUUUCCUUCAGAGUCUUAUCUUAAUCUUCCUGUCCCUUGGGUCUGAGGCCUCAAAAUCCCAUUAAUAUUGAGCCCUCCCCCUCUUCAGAACAGAGCAUCUCCAAGAGACACAAAUCCUUCCUUUGCUGGAAAUGACGGACUCUCCCUCUUUGACAAUAAAUGCAUUCCUCUCUUCCAGAAGAAGAAAGAAGGAUUAAGAAGGACUGAGGAAAGAGAUUGAUGUCCUACCUCACUGCCCUAACUCUUGGAGUUGUGUCGCUAUGAAGAGUAGGAAGUAGGGGGGGGCUCCCCAGCCAAUGAUCCAGAGAAGGGGUCUGCCACGGCCACCUGAAAUUAAUGUGUGCUCUGAAAGCAAUGGGCUGCACUGAAUUCCAUGGCAGCAAGGAAGUCAAGGGUCACAUGUAGUUAUUUUCUGCAUUCAUUUAAUCAUCCUUUCAUACACUCAUUCAGCAUAUCAAGUGUCGACAGUGUGCAGCAAAACAAGCCAAGCAAAAGAAGAGUAAUAAUGAAUAAGAACAAAUGAGCAAAAGUAAAAAGUUAAACAAACUUGAACAUCAACAAGUGUCCUAGGUGUAUUAGGGAAGUGAGGUCACAGGGCAAAGUGUUCCCCUAGAAGUCAGAGAAACAAAAAAAUACUAAGAACCACAAAUUAUCAGAGAAGAAACAUCACAAGCAGAAACCUCUGCAGGAAAUAAUUCUGGGGUAGGAAAACUUAGACUGUAAUUGAUGAAUUGCUACAGGCUCAGUGUGGACAAGUCUAAGAUAAAAACUUCAGGGGGAACCAGUUACAUUCUCUUGAGUUUUUACAUCAAGGGAGAGCUCUACCGGGGCCUCACUGUUCCUAGAGAAAAAAGCUCAUCUGCUUCUAACAGGGGUUGGGGAAUAAAUAUUUUGAAAUACAGGAGGGAACUCCAUCCUCAAAAACAUCUGCUCUAAGGAGAAACCAUUUUACCAGAGCCUCAUCUGGUAUUUUUUUUCAGAUCCCAAUCUACUUGGAACAAGGGAACUAUCCAAUCAGCCUCCUCCAGCUGUCUUUUCCCACCUGAGAUGAAAACAAGAUAAAACUGAGAAGCACUGGAGUUCCCCUCGUGGUGCAGGGGAAAUGAAUCCCACUGGGAACCAUGAGGUUGCGGGUUUGAUCCCUGGCCUCGCUCAGUGGGUUAUGGAUCUUGCAUUGUCAUGAGCUGUAGUGUAAGUCACAGAUGCGGCUUGGAUCUGGCAUCGCUGUGGCUGUGGUGUAGGCUGACAGCAACAGCUCCAAUUAGACCCCUAACCUGGGAACCUCCAUAUGCUCACCAAAAGACCAAGACCUGUUCAUAGGAUUAUCGACUGCUCUGCCCUCUCCAUUAUCACUACAUUCCUAAAGACCUAGUUAGUACAGAAUUUUGUUUCUAACUUUAUCCUGUACAUCACAUUUGUCUUUCAACAACCACAGCAACAACAACAACAAAAUCACAGGGCACAAGACACAGUUUAAAGAUACUCAACAGGAUAGAUGUCAAGAUAACGGAGUAGGAGGACUCAUGACUCAUUUUCUGCAACAAAUGUAUCAAGACAACUACAUACAGAGCCACUCAGCUGAAACUGACCCAGAGACUAGCAGGGCUGCUCUUGUACACCUGUGGCUGUCAAGGAAGCACCACAUGAGCCUGGCAGGAAGGGAGGAGAAGGAAUCUGCUGAGCACCCACACUUCUUGGAAAGAACACUGAAGGUGAAGGGGAUAUCACACAUGUAGGAAUCUUUCCUGGGGAGCAAGGGGUUCGAGCCACAUAUUAGUGAUUCUAGGCUUAGAGUCUGACACCAGGAAGAUGACCCCCCUUAGCUGGAAUGUAAACCACUGGAACUUACUGAAGGGCCAUAAAAAACACCAAACUCUGCUCUUGGAGAGUCACAGUUCAGAAGCAUCAGAUGGAAAACUGCUCAGGGUUCCAGCCAGCUUGCAAGGACCACCCCAGCUCAUCCCCAAGCCCUCAGUGGGAUCCUGCUUCAGUCCCUCAUGCUCCUGCACUUCUCCCCACUAAGGCAGAAGCUUCCAUUGCCAACAAGAGUGACCCACGUGGAGAGAACUGCUCUGAUGCCAGAUGCCUUUGACCAAGUCCCAACCCAGCUGUUGGCCUGGGCAUGCCCAUCAGGGGAUAAUGAAACCAGCACAGAAGCCCAGCAGGAAGCCCUCAGUCCCCAACCAAAUGGAGACCACCCCCAUGCCGGAAGAAAUCCAACUCCUGUUCCAGCGUCUAUGGCCCCAACACCACCCCUAAAAAAGAAAUUAAAGUCAACUGAGCACAGGAGAAGCCCAGGGUGCACAUGGCUGUGGCCCUAACCCAUACAGCUCCAGCCUUACCUCCCCUCAAGGCACACUUGGAGGGAAAAUACAGCACAUGUUCACUUCAGAUCUAGCUCUCCCUACCCAGGCCACUAGACAGACAGACAGCAAAGGGACACUCUCGCACAAGGACACACCUUCAGGACUGAGAUAGGUAACUGUUACACUAAAUUUCCUAGAGAGAAAGUUUGACAAAAUGAGGAUACAGAGGAGCACAUUUCAAAUGAAAGAACAAGAAAAAGAACCUGAACCUGAAUAACACAUAGAUUAAUACUCUACCUGACAGAGUUUGAAGCAAUAGCAGUAAGGAUAAGUGGGGCUGGAAAAAGAAUCAAUGAACCCACUGAGAAUUUUAAUUAAGAACUAGAAACUUAAAAAAACAAGUCAGAUCGGGAGAAUGCAAUAAUUAAAAUGAACAAUACCACAUAUUCCUAAGUCAAUCAUCUGUUGAUGGAUAUUUGGGUUGUUUCCAUGUCUUGACUGUUGUGAACAGAGCUGCAAUGAACAUGCGGGUGCAUGUGUCUUUUUUAAGGAAAGUUUUGUCCAGAUAUAUGCCCAAGAGUGGGAUUUCUGGGUCAUAUGGCAGUUCUAUGUAUAGUUUUCUAAGGUACCUCCAUACUGUUUUCCAUAGAGGUUGUACCAGCUCACAUUCCCACCAACAAUUCAGGAGGGUCCCCUUUUCUCCCCACCCAUUCAGCUUUGUUAUUUGUGGACUUACUAAUGAUGGGAUCUUGGGGUUAAUUGAUGUAGACUAUUACCUUUGGAAUGGAAUAGCAAUGAGAUCCGGCUGUGUAGCACUGGAACCUAUGUCUAGUCACUUAUGAUGGAGCAUGAUAGUGUGAGAAAAAAGAAUGUAUACAUUUAUGUGUAACUGGGUCACCAUCCUAUACAGUAGAAAAUUGACAGAACACUGUAAACCAGCUAUGACGGAAAAAAAAUAGAAAUCAUUAUAUAAAUAAAAUGAACAAUACACUAGAAAGAAGUAACAAACAGCAUGUUAGAUGAUACAAGAAGAUGCAUAAGUGACCUGGAAGAUAUAGUAAUGGAAAUUACUCAAUCAGAACAGCAAUGAUAAAAAUUUUUAGAAAAAAUAGAUUCGUUUAAAGGACCUCUAGGACAAUACCAAGUAUACCAACACUUGCAUUAAGUAAAAUGAAUCAAUGAUUAGUAAUAAUCUUCCAAAACAGAAAGCACACCGGGCCCCUAUCAGUUCACUGGUGAACU
rnacentral:lncRNA from 1 species